AGUGAACGCUGGCGGUAGGCCUAACACAUGCAAGUCGAACGGCAGCACAGUAAGAGCUUGCUCUUACGGGUGGCGAGUGGCGGACGGGUGAUGAAUACAUCGGAAUCUACUUUUUCGUGGGGGAUAACGUAGGGAAACUUACGCUAAUACCGCAUACGACCUACGGGUGAAAUCAUGGGAUCUUCGGACCUUGCGCGAUCGAAUGAGCCGAUGUCGGAUUAGCUAGUUGUCGGGGUAAAGGCCCACCAAGGCGACGAUCCGUAGCUGGUCUGAGAGGAUGAUCAGCCACACUGGAACUGAGACACGGUCCAGACUCCUACGGGAGGCAGCAGUGGGGAAUAUUGGACAAUGGGCGCAAGCCUGAUCCAGCCAUACCGCGUGGGUGAAGAAGGCCUUCGGGUUGUAAAGCCCUUUUGUUGGGAAAGAAAAGCAGCAGGUUAAUACCCCGCUGUUCUGACGGUACCCAAAGAAUAAGCACCGGCUAACUUCGUG
rnacentral:rRNA from 1 species